AGUGAACGCUGGCGGUAGGCCUAACACAUGCAAGUCGAACGGCAGCACAGUAAGAGCUUGCUCUUACGGGUGGCGAGUGGCGGACGGGUGAGGAAUACAUCGGAAUCUACUUUUUCGUGGGGGAUAACGUAGGGAAACUUACGCUAAUACCGCAUACGACCUACGGGUGAAAGCAGGGGAUCUUCGGACCUUGCGCGAUUGAAUGAGCCGAUGUCGGAUUAGCUAGUUGGCGGGGUAAAGGCCCACCAAGGCGACGAUCCGUAGCUGGUCUGAGAGGAUGAUCAGCCACACUGGAACUGAGACACGGUAGACUCCUACGGGAGGCAGCAGUGGGGAAUAUUGGACAAUGGGCGCAAGCCUGAUCCAGCCAUACCGCGUGGGUGAAGAAGGCCUUCGGGUUGUAAAGCCCUUUUGUUGGGAAAGAAAAGCAGCAGGUUAAUACCCCGCUGUUCUGACGGUACCCAAAGAAUAAGCACCGGCUAACUUCGUG
rnacentral:rRNA from 1 species